AUGGCUUCGGGCUGCGCCAAGAGGAAGCAUGGAGGGGAGGCGAGGUGCCGGUGCAGAUGCCGUCAUGUCCACGUUCACUACCACCUGCCACCGCGCAGGCGGGUCUCGCUCCUCCGGUGGUUGCCUCGCCCUCGCCUCUCGCUGCUCUCCUACCUGCUGAUUCCUCCCGUGCUCUGCUUCGCGCUGCUUGCCUUUGUGGUGUCGUUUCUCUGGUUCACCUUGCUCUAUUUCGUCGCCUCGCUCUUGAGCAAGGAUGGCAAUCUCGAAUCCGUCAAGAAUGGCGGCAUCGGCCCUGCCAGCGACGUCGAAGACAGUGGACAAGAGGGGAAUUCAGAGGCGAAAGGGAAAGCUGUGAGGCAUGCGGCGGAACACCUGACUGGUGAUUCUGCUACGGCUCAAGUUUCUUUCAGGAGACUCGAGAUACAAGAGGUUCGUGCUGAUGGAUUCUCUCAAAUAUCUCGGAGGAACGACAACAAACUGGUCGAAGAUGUGAAUAUCUUUGAGACAAGCAGUGCCAAGGCUGAUUCAGAGGAAUUUUCCGGAUGGCGUCAGGUACAGGAUGUGCCGGUCGGUUGGUUUGUGGAUGAACACAACAUCAGAGUGGACAGCAGUAGCACACCAGGUGAUUUAUUUCCAUCUCUGUAUUCCACUGAUUCGGCUGAAAUUCAUGAUUUGCCUGACCUGGACGAACUGAGAGGGAUGUCAUCGGACUUUCUUGCUGAAAGCAAGCAAAAUAUGCUUGUGCCAUCGAAUACUUCGUUUCAUCAUCAUAGUAUCAGCGACGGACAUGGUGAAGAAUAUUGUGACGAUAGGAAGGAGUUAUCAGCUCGUGGUACAUAUGAAAUUAUUGAUUUCAUUGACAAGCACGAAACAAGAGACCAGACACCUGACGGUUCUUUUGUUGAAGAUGAGGAAACCGGACAGUUUGAAUCCUCAGAUGAAGGGAGUACCCAAGAAAAAGAUGCAAAUAGUGUACUUGAACUGGUUGUUGAUAGCAUAGCGACUCUGGAAGAUUUUCGUGAAAAGCAAGAAGUACAAAUGGUGCCCGAAGUUCUGAUCACGGAGGCAAAUGCAGAGCAGAGUGUUGGCGCUUCAAACGAAGGUCAGGAUUCCAGCAGCGAGAAGGAAGCAUCAAUGGUGUCACUUCAUUCUGUUUGUGAAGAUGCAGCCUCCUCAGAUGCUUCAUCCCACCAUUAUUUGGUUUAUGAAGAUGACAAACAGGAAGAGGUUACCGAACACAGCACAGCAGAGGCACCCGAUCCUGCAUCUGCUGUAGUUUGCAACAUCUUUGAGAACCGUCAGACACCAAGAAGAGAGGCAUCUGACGGUUUUGAGAAUGACGACGAAGCCAGAGAGGUGGCCUCACAGGAGAGUCUGGGAGAUCAAGCUGAUGAAAUUAACGAUGACUCUGCCUCGGAGGGAGCGCAUUGUGGAGUGCCACUUCUCAGGAGGUCCCCAUCACAAUGGUGGAAUUUAUGUGGAGUCGUUGAUGUGUUUGCUGGCUCAGAGGAUUAA
rnacentral:rRNA from 1 species